UACAGAGGUCUCAAGCGUUGUUCGGAUUCAUUGGGCGUAAAGGGUGCGUAGGUGGCGCCGUAAGUCAGGUGUGAAAUUUCGGAGCUUAACUCCGAAACUGCAUUCGAUACUGCCGUGCUUGAGGACUGGAGAGGAGACUGGAAUUUACGGUGUAGCGGUGAAAUGCGUAGAUAUCGUAAGGAAGACCAGUGGCGAAGGCGGGUCUCUGGACAGUUCCUGACACUGAGGCACGAAGGCCAGGGGAGCAAACGGG
rnacentral:rRNA from 1 species